GACGAGAGGUCCGAGCGUUAGACGGAAUCACUGGGCUUAAAGGGUGUGUAGGCUGACCUUCAGGCGUGUUGUGAAAUCCCCCGGCUCAACCGGGGAAUUGCGAUGCGAACCGUUGGUCUUGAGGCGCGUAGGGGCUGUCAGAACGUUCGGUGGAGCGGUGAAAUGCGUUGAUAUCGAACGGAAUGCCGAUGGUGAAGACGGGCAGCUGGGCGCGACCUGACGCUGAGACACGAAAGCGUGGGGAUCAAACAGG
rnacentral:rRNA from 1 species